UACGUAGGGUCCAAGCGUUAUCCGGAAUCACUGGGCGUAAAGCGUGCGUAGGUGGCGUGUUAAGUGAGAUGUGAAACCGUGUGGCUCAACCAUACGUUGCGUCUCAUACUGGCAUGCUAGAGGACAGCAGAGGCAAGUGGAAUUACGAGUGUAGCAGUGAAAUGCGUAGAUAUUCGUAGGAACACCAAUGGCGAAGGCAGCUUGCUGGGCUACUCCUGACACUGAGGUACGAAAGCGUGGGGAGCGAACAGG
rnacentral:rRNA from 1 species